CAAUAGCGUAUAUUUAAGUUGUUGCAGUUAAAAGCUCGUAGUUGGAUUUCGUUGAGACGCGGUCCGCCGUUUGGUGUGCACUGGCUGGUCUCAACUUCCUGUAGAGGACGCGCUCUGGGUUAACGCUCGGACGCGGAGUCUACGUGGUUACUUUGAAAAAUUAGAGUGUUCAAAGCAGGCAACCGCUCUGAAUACAUUAGCAUGGAAUAACGCUAUAGGACUCUGGUCCUAUUGUGUUGGUCUUCGGGACCGGAGUAAUGAUUAAGAGGGACAGUUGGGGGGCAUUCGUAUUUCAUUGUCAGAGGUGAAAUUCUUGGAUUUAUGAAAGACGAA
rnacentral:rRNA from 1 species